rnacentral:rRNA from 1 species
GAUGAACGCUGGCGGCGUGCCUAAUACAUGCAAGUCGAGCGAACAGACGAGGCGCUUGCUCCUUCGACGUUAGCCGCGGACGGGUGAGUAACACGUAUGACACCUACCUAUAAUACUGGGAUAACUUCGGGAAACCGGCGCUUAUACCGGAUAAUAUUCUGAUCCGCAUGGUUCGAUAGUGAAAGAUGGCUGUGCUAUCACUUCUAGAUGCACCUGCGCCGUAUUAGCUAGUUGGUAGGGUAAAGGCUUACCAAGGCAACGAGACGUAGCCGACCGGAGAGAGGGAUAGGCCACACUGGAACUGAAACACGGUCAAGACGACUACGGGAGGGAGCAGUAGGGAAUCUUCCGCAGUGGGCGAGAGCCUGACGGAGCAGCGGCGCGUGAGAGAUGAAGGUCUUGGGAUCGUAAAACUGUGUUAUUAGGGAAAAACAAACGUGGAAGGAACUGUGCACGGCGUGACGGUACCUAAUCAGAAAGCCACGGCUAACUACGUG